UACAGAGGUCUCAAGCGUUUGUUCGGAUUCAUUGGGCGUAAAGGGUGCGUAGGUGGCGCCGUAAGUCGGGUGUGAAAUUUCGGAGCUUAACUCCGAAACUGCAUUCGAUACUGCGGUGCUUGAGAACUGGAGAGGAGACUGGAAUUCAUGGUGUAGCAGUGAAAUGCGUAGAGAUCAUGAGGAAGACCAGUGGCGAAGGCGGGUCUCUGGACAGUUCCUGACACUGAGGCACGAAGGCCAGGGGAGCAAACAGG
rnacentral:rRNA from 1 species